UUGAACGCUGGCGGAAUGCUUUACACAUGCAAGUCGAGCGGCAGCGCGGGGGCAACCCUGGCGGCGAGCGGCGAACGGGUGAGUAACACAUCGGAACGUACCCAGUUGAGGGGGAUAACACAUCGAAAGAUGUGCUAAUACCGCAUACGACCUGAGGGUGAAAGUGGGGGAUCGCAAGACCUCACGCAGUUGGAGCGGCCGAUGUCGGAUUAGCUAGUUGGUGGGGUAAAGGCCUACCAAGGCGACGAUCCGUAGCUGGUCUGAGAGGACGACCAGCCACACUGGGACUGAGACACGGUCCAGACUCCUACGGGAGGCAGCAGUGGGGAAUUUUGGACAAUGGGGGCAACCCUGAUCCAGCCAUUCCGCGUGAGUGAAGAAGGCCUUCGGGUUGUAAAACUCUUUCGGCAGGAACGAAACGGUGAGCUCUAACAUAGCUUGCUAAUGACGGUACCUGAAGAAGAAGCACCGGCUAACUACGU
rnacentral:rRNA from 1 species